GGACACGACGUGAGAACCCCUCCUCUGUUGCUAAGGGGCGGCCCGGAAGUGACGCUUUGUUGACAGCACUCAGGCAGCCACAGGCUCUCCUAGCCGUCGGAGCAGGAUCGGGGCGGGGGAGGGGCUGGGCCCGGAGCCAGUAGCCGGCGGCCCUAGCCCAGCCGGCCGCCCGAGGGCAACUGAACGGCCUUGUCCCGGGCUCCGGCCGCUGCAUUCUCGCCCUGCCCCGCCCCGCCGACCGGUACCCGAACCGGAUCCGACCUCCUGCGGCUCUCUGGCCACCGAUUCCCCCGGGCCGCAGCCUCCGCCUGAAAACCUGCGAAGCAUCCCGUCUUCCCGCUGAGGGCCGCCCCCUCCUAGGGUUGUGGCUCUGCCAAUGAUCUUGUGAUUACUGGGAAUUUAUAGUUGCCCUGUGGGCCCUCUCCCUAGAGUGGCCUGCCGCCUGCCUUCUCCCAGCAUGGCGUCCGACACACCUGAGUCCCUGAUGGCCCUCUGUACUGACUUCUGUCUCCGAAAUCUUGAUGGCACCCUGGGCUACCUGCUAGACAAGGAGACCCUGCGGCAUCCAGACAUCUUCUUGCCCAGCGAAAUCUGUGACCAGCUGGUCAAUGAAUAUGUGGAGCUGGUCAGUGCCGCCUGCACCUUUGAGCCACACGAGACCUUCUUCAGCCUCUUCUCAGAUCCCCGCAGCACUCGCCUUACUAGGAUCCACCUCCGGGAGGACCUGGUGCAGGACCAGGACCUGGAAGCCAUCCGAAAGCAGGACCUGGUGGAGCUAUACCUGACCAACUGCGAGAAGCUGUCUGCCAAGAGCCUGCAGACGCUGCGGAGCUUCAGCCACAGCCUGGUGUCCCUGAGUCUCUUCGGCUGUGCCAACAUCUUCUACGAGGAGGACAACCCAGGGGGCUGUGAGGACGAGUGCCUCGUCAACCCCACCUGCCAGGUGCUGGUCAAGGACUUCACCUUUGAGGGCUUUAGCCGCCUGCGAUUCCUCAACCUGGGCCGCAUGAUUGACGGUGUCCCUGUGGACUCACUGCUCCGGCCACUCAACUCACUGGCUGCCUUGGACCUCUCAGGCAUCCAGACAAGCGAUGCCACCUUCCUAACACAGUGGAAGGACAGUCUGAUGUCCCUUGUGCUCUACAACAUGGACCUUUCAGAAGACCACAUCCGGGUCAUUGUCCAGCUACACAAGCUUCGCCACCUGGACAUCUCCCGAGACCGCCUCUCCAGCUACUACAAGUUCAAGCUGACUCGGAAGGUGCUCAGCCUCUUGGUGCAGAAGCUGGGGAACCUAAUGUCUCUGGACAUUUCUGGCCACAUGAUCCUAGAGAACUGCAGCAUCUCCAAGAUGGAUGAGGAGGCAGGACAGACCAGCACUGACCCUUCCAAGAGCAGCAUCAUGCCUUUUCGGGCUCUGAAGAGGCCACUGCAGUUCCUUGGGCUCUUUGAGACCUCCUUGUGUCGCCUCACGCACAUUCCAGCCUACAAAGUAAGUGGUGACAAAAAUGAAGAGCAGGUGCUGAACGCCAUCGAGGCCUACACAGAACACCGGCCUGAGAUCACUUCUAGGGCCAUCAACCUGCUCUUUGACAUUGCACGCAUUGAACGCUGCAACCAGCUUCUGCGGGCCCUGAAGCUGGUCAUCACAGCCCUCAAGUGCCACAAGUAUGACAAGAACAUUCAAGUGACCGGCAGUGCUGCCCUCUUCUACCUGACCAAUUCUGAGUACCGCUCAGAGCAGAGCGUGAAGCUACGCCGGCAGGUCAUCCAGGUGGUGCUGAAUGGCAUGGAGUCCUAUCAGGAGGUGACGGUGCAGCGGAACUGCUGUCUGACCCUCUGCAACUUCAGCAUCCCCGAGGAACUGGAGUUCCAGUACCGCCGGGUGAAUGAGCUCCUGCUCGGCAUCCUCAGCCCCACCCGGCAGGACGAGUCCAUCCAGCGGAUUGCCGUGCACUUGUGCAAUGCCCUAGUCUGCCAGGUGGACAAUGACCACAAGGAGGCUGUGGGCAAGAUGGGCUUCGUCGUGACCAUGUUGAAGCUGAUCCAGAAGAAGCUGCUGGACAAGACGUGUGACCAGGUCAUGGAGUUCUCCUGGAGUGCCCUGUGGAACAUCACAGACGAGACACCGGACAACUGCGAGAUGUUCCUCAACUUCAAUGGCAUGAAGCUCUUUCUCGACUGCCUGAAGGAGUUCCCAGAGAAGCAGGAGCUGCACCGGAACAUGCUCGGGCUCUUGGGGAAUGUGGCAGAGGUGAAGGAGCUACGGCCUCAGCUGAUGACCUCCCAGUUCAUCAGCGUCUUCAGCAACCUGCUGGAAAGCAAGGCCGACGGCAUUGAGGUUUCUUACAAUGCCUGUGGUGUCCUCUCCCACAUCAUGUUCGAUGGCCCUGAGGCCUGGGGUGUCUGUGAACCCCAGCGGGCAGAGGUGGAGGAGCGUAUGUGGGCGGCCAUCCAGAGCUGGGAUAUCAACUCCCGAAGGAAUAUCAACUACAGGUCAGAGAUGGGAAGGUCCUUUGAGCCGAUUCUGCGCCUCCUUCCUCAGGGGAUCUCUCCAGUCAGCCAGCACUGGGCCACCUGGGCCCUGUACAACCUCGUGUCUGUGUACCCUGACAAGUACUGCCCCCUGCUGAUUAAAGAAGGCGGGAUGCCCCUGCUGAGGGACCUAAUCAAGAUGGCCACUGCCCGGCAGGAAACCAAGGAGAUGGCCCGCAAGGUGAUUGAGCACUGCAGUAACUUUAGAGAGGAGAACAUGGACACGUCCAGAUAGAGGCCACACAGUUCGGACCACGGGCCGGAAGGAAGCACUGGAGGUCCAGUGGGCAGGUCCCUUCCAGAGCCUCCCACAGGAUGAAGAGGCAGUGAGGACUUUUGCACAGCUGAUGCUUUUCCUAAAUGAAGUGUGAAGUUUUGUGUGUAUGACUUCUCCUGAGUCUUUGCAGCUCCUUGCCACUCUCAGUCCGCCUCCAAGCUUUUAUUGCUGCCAUGUUCACUCCUGCCCCAGCCAGGCUUGCCUCUAAUGCUGUGAGUGUCCAAUCCCUUCCCAGUGAUUUGAGACUCUGGCCUGGCUUCUGUCUAUUAUGGGAGGAGCUGGCCCUUACCAGGCUGUUCAACAUCCCUGAUCCCUGCCUGAGGGUGAGGACGAUAAGGUUUGAGAUUACGACUAGCCUACUGGGUCUCCCAGAAGCCUUGGUGCUCCAGGCUGUGAGCCCUCUGGGGCCAGAGAGUAAGCUGUUUCCAGGCCUCAGGCCAAGCAGAUCCUGUCCAGAGGACCCUGGAGAAGGAGGGUUUAGUUGGCCCACUGCUCUCUGGCCAGGCCUACCUGUGGCCAUGCUGCUAUGGAGGCUGCCUCAAGUCUCCCUCAGGCCUCAGGCUUUUGAAGGCUCCAGCCCAGAGAUGGUCAGAACUCAGGGGCAAUUUCAUUCAUUGCCCCUUCUGCCAAACAUGCCAUAAACCGCCCCAGCUCUGGCAGCUGGCACCUUCCAGGACCAGGGUCUUGCUCCUUGUUCUGUAGCUCUCAUCUGCUCACAGCCCCCAGUGCCCAGUCUCUCCCACCAGCAGCUGAGUUGAGCCCACCCGCUGCCCAGAAGAUACUGCAGCUCCCUCCCAGGGCAGGAGCUCCCACUCCAGCCUCAGAGGGGCAGCGGGAAGCCACCUCCAGACCAGCACUUGGACAGCCCUCUGUCCCUCCAGCCCAGUCCCUGAGAAGCUGCUGUCCUGAGUGACAGGCAACUCUCUAGGCAUCUCGUGCACCUUCUCACUAUCCCAGCAUUGCUUCUCCUUAACACAGAGCUACUUAGGAGACCUGUGCACACAAGAAGGCUUGGGGAGCAAAGCUGACCCUGGAGGCAGCCUUUGGUGUGGUUUUUCUGUCCUCUUUUUUCCCCUGGGCCUGUCCUUUGAUUUUCCAGGCAUGUCUGCCUACAGGUUUGCCCUUGAACCUAGGGAGAGGAGACCGACCUUUCCAGAGGAAACUCCCUGGUCAGUGGGUAGAGGGCGUAGCCAUGUGCUUCUCCCUUGCAGCACUUGGGCAACCUCAGCCCCUCCUUUUCAUCACAGGCCCUUCUGGCAGCAGCCAGACCUGAGCAGAGUUCACAUCCCAUCGCUUUACUGCCUGGGGUCUGGGGAAAUGUCUGUACUUUGGGAUGUCACAGAAAUACAUUUUUGUGCAACGUGCAGAA